CCUGGGGGCAGUGGCGAACACCUGUAAUCCCAGAAGCUCGGGAGGCUGAGGCAGGAGGAUUGCCAGUUCAAAGCCAGCCUCAGCAAAAGCAAGGAGCUAAGCAACUCAGUGAGACCCUGUCUCUA
rnacentral:sRNA from 1 species